CCAUGGAAGAAAAACAAAGUAUUUCACCUAUGAUAAUUUAGAAAUAUCCCUUUCUUGCUGACUCAAUUGUGGUGGAACAGGUUCAUGGAUCAUAACAAGGCCAAGGGUAGAAACAAUUUAAGAAAAAUAUCCUGCACUCCAGCUUAUUACAGAGGUAAAAGCUGAAUUUUAAAGAGUAAACUACAAGUUGAUCCAUGAUAUGGUUGGCAAAUUUCAAUCCAUUGAUUCAGAAAAAUGUUUUGGACUAUGCCAAGAAAUGUAACAAGAAAACUACAUUGGUUCUUAUAAACAGAGUGGAGAGAGCAAUUGCUGGGAAAUCAGACAUCAAGAGCACAGUUGCUUAGAUUUUGAAGGAACCAUUGAAGGAGAAUGCAGGAGAAUCUCAGUCUCUCUUCUUUAAGAUUUGUUCUGUUGUUGAUUCCAUAGAUCAGGAUAAUUGGUUCAGAAGACCUUUCAGAUGUUCAAACUUUGAUGAUUGCGGUGGAGGGGCAAAUGUUAACUUAUUCAAGAACAGACUCAACCUUAUUUUAUCUACUAAACAUGGAGUACAUUGCUGGUGUGGCAAAUGGAAACUGCUCUCGUCAGGAAGCCUUAGGACAAAAACUUUUAAAGGACGUUAAGUACCCUAGACAUUUUAUACACUCUUGUACAUAGAUUUUCCUGUCACAACAUAUGUAGAAAUAAAUAUUUUUAAAUCGCAUUUUGUCCACUUUGUAUGAUUAUAGCUUAUGCUAUUUAGUCGCUCCAUUGCUAGCGCUAAAAGUGCAAAAACUAAACCACACAAACUUCGGGUGUUAGAUUAACACCAUAAAUUGGCGUAAAAGUAGCACCAAAGAUCGUGCUAAUUUGACACCUUAUUUCGCGGUGUCAAUUUAGCACCCGAAAUGGUGUUAUUCUGUACCUUUUUAUCUGACACCUUUUUUGGUGUCAAUAUGACACCGCAAAAUUA